GUUUUAGUAGUUUAAAAAAAACUUUGGUCUUGUAAAUCAAAAUUAAGGGUACAAAACCUUCUAAAACU
rnacentral:tRNA from 1 species